AUUGAACGCUGGCGGAAUGCUUUACACAUGCAAGUCGAACGGCAGCACGGACUUCGGUCUGGUGGCGAGUGGCGAACGGGUGAGUAAUAUAUCGGAACGUGCCCAGCCGUGGGGGAUAACGUAGCGAAAGCUACGCUAAUACCGCAUACGAUCUAAGGAUGAAAGCGGGGGAUCGCAAGACCUCGCGCGAUUGGAGCGGCCGAUAUCAGAUUAGGUAGUUGGUGAGGUAAAGGCUCACCAAGCCGACGAUCUGUAGCUGGUCUGAGAGGACGACCAGCCACACUGGGACUGAGACACGGCCCAGACUCCUACGGGAGGCAGCAGUGGGGAAUUUUGGACAAUGGACGCAAGUCUGAUCCAGCCAUUCCGCGUGCAGGACGAAGGCCUUCGGGUUGUAAACUGCUUUUGUACAGAACGAAAAGGUCUCUAUUAAUACUAGGGGCUCAUGACGGUACUGUAAGAAUAAGCACCGGCUAACUACGUGCCAGCCGCCGCUGUAA
rnacentral:rRNA from 1 species